AGAGUGGGUCGCGCAGCCGCGCCGGCUUGUGGCCGGUGAGGAAAGUCCGAACUCCGCAGGGCGGAACGCCGGCGAAAUGCCGGGCGGGGUAACCCGACGGAAAGUGGCGCAGAAACAUACCGCCGGAGGCGGCUUAGCCGCAAGCCCGAGGCAGGUGGGGCGUCUCAUGAGGACGCUGCUGCCGCCCGCGGGUUCCGGUAAGGGUGAAAUGGUGAGGUAAGAGCUCACCAGCGUCGCGGAGACGCGGCGGCUGGCCAAACCCCGUUUGGAGCAAGGCCUAAUAGGGAAGCUUCGCGCGCAAGCGUGAAGGGGGCAGCCCGUCCCUUGACUUCCGGGUAGGCCGCAGGAGAGACGUGGUAACGCGUCUCCCAGAGAAAUGGCUGCGAUCCGGGCUUCCCGGACACAGAAUUCGGCUUAUAGACCCACUCUCGCC
rnacentral:RNase_P_RNA from 1 species